UACGGAGGAUCCAAGCGUUGUCCGGACUCAUUGGGUUUAAAGGGUCCGUAGGCGGGUUAAUAAGCUAGUGGGGAAAGUCUGCAGCUCAACUGUAGAACUGCCAUUGAUAUUGUUGUCCUUGAGUAAUUAUGAAGUGGUUAGAAUAUGUAGUGUAGCGGUGAAAUGCAUAGAUAUUACAUAGAAUACCGAUUGCGAAGGCAGAUCACUAAUAAUUCACUGACGCUGAUGGACGAAAGCGUAGGUAGCGAACAGG
rnacentral:misc_RNA from 1 species